GCAAGUCGAGGGGUAACGAGUUCUGCUUGCAGAAUGUCGACGACCGGCGCACGGGUGCGUAACGCGUAUGCAACCUACCUUAUACAGGGGAAUAGCCCAGAGAAAUUUGGAUUAAUGCCCCAUGGUAUCAUUCGAUCGCAUGAGAAGAGGAUUAAAACUCCGGUGGUAUAAGAUGGGCAUGCGUUAGAUUAGCUAGUUGGUAAGGUAACGGCUUACCAAGGCUACGAUCUAUAGGGGGUCUGAGAGGAUGAUC
rnacentral:rRNA from 1 species